rnacentral:rRNA from 1 species
GAAGGCUGAAAUCCGCCUUCAUGAAGCCGGAAUUGCUAGUAAUGGCAGGUCAGAAUACUGCCGUGAAUACGUUCCCGGGCCUUGUACACACCGCCCGUCACACCAUGAGAGUUGGGAAUACCCGAAGCCUGUGAGCUAACCGAAAGGGAGCAGCAGUCGAAGGUAGAAUCAAUGAUUGGGGUGAAGUCGUAACAAGGUACC